UCCAUCUGGUUCUAAAUCCUGUUUUGUAUCUGAGAGACUCGGGGCCAGAGUGACCCAAGUCACUCAAUAAGUUAACUCCUGAGCCCAGAUAAGAGUCUAAAUGUUUUCACUCACAUGUCAGUGCUCAUCCUCUUAAAAUUAAAUAUUAACCCCUUGACAUAUGAGAAUUCUGUAAAUGUUCAAUAAAAACAAGAGCAAAGGAAGAUAAACAGACCAAAAGAAAGGUAGAAAGCACAUGCCUAGAGCAAUAUACCAAGAGCAAAAGUCUUGCUUCACCCUCCUUGUGACCAGCCAUCAUACAGAUGUCCCCACAAAGAUCUUGAGGACCACUCACAGGGAUCUGCAUAUAACAGAACCUCUGCUCUGUUCAACGUAUGCCAUCCACUGAGGUUUACCCAGAGAUGGAUGUCACCAAGGAAUCUCUGCCCAAGAGACCACGCUUUGUCUUGGUUGAAGCAUCUACUUUGAAGCUCUGUCCUUCUAUUUCAUGAACUCAGCCAGAUUUCUGUGCUUCUCUUUCUUAGAGUCAACUCUGAAGACCUAAGACCUAAAUUUCUUGGCCCUACACUGGACCUCGUCGAUCAGUCCCUGAGACAAAGACAAAACAGUCCAAAGCAAAACAAACCAGCCCAUUGACUAAGUAUUAAGAUGAAUUCCCUGCAAAGUUUCCCUAACUCGAAGGCCCCCACAGAUCACCUAUAAAAUAGUUCCCCAAUUCCCUUGGUUAUAAUCCUGUGCCUAAUUUUUUGUAGUCACGUCUUAAGAAAAGUUCCAGAUUAUGAACUUCCAGAAAAGCAGAUUUCUAGCUCUGGUGUGACAAUUUCUAACUGUACAAGGUUGGAUAAGUUAUCUAAUUCCCAGCCCAAUUGAAUUCUCAGCCCAUGAAGAUGGGGAUAUUGUAUACUACAUAAAAUUUCUGGGAUGAUCCAAAGAUCUAAGAGGGACAAGUGGCGAUGAAGAUGGAGAGGGAGGCGGGAUCACACUCAAAGUCAGAUCAUCACUGAGGAACUGGCAUGAACAACGUCUUCUACUUAGCUUCUGCCUUCCAUUGAUUUUUCCAUGUGGAUUCUCAAGUUUUUGAUUUUAUAUGCUAGCUUGAAGAAAUGUGGAAUAUUUUAAUUUACAGUUGAAGAACAUGGUUUUAAACAGAAAAGUGCCAUUUUAGGACCAGUCAGUUCUAUGACAUAAAUCAUCAAUGCGUUGAUUUCUUUUCCUUUGCCAGUUCCAACGGCAAGAACACUAAACAAGCACCAGAGGGCGCCAUUCUCCCAUGAAAACCAACUCACAGAGCAACUGGAGAUGGAGGCUUCUUUUGUGUUUAUACAGAAGUUCCUUUCACAUUUAAUUCCUUUUGCAUUUAAACAAGGAUUUUGCAUUUGU